rnacentral:ncRNA from 2 species
ACAUGAAUAGGUGAUGGAGUUCACCUAAGAUUAACCGCUUUUAUAUAGCUGAUAACUCCUGCAGAAAA